rnacentral:rRNA from 1 species
UGCAAGUCGAGCGCCCCGCAGGGGAGCGGCAGACGGGUGAGUAACGCGUGGGAAUCUACCCUUCACUACGGAACAACUCCGGGAAACUGGAGCUAAUACCGUAUACGUCCUUCGGGAGAAAGAUUUAUCGGUGAUGGAUGAGCCCGCGUUGGAUUAGCUAGUUGGUGGGGUAAUGGCCUACCAAGGCAACGAUCCAUAGCUGGUCUGAGAGGAUGAUCAGCCACACUGGGACUGAGACACGGCCCAGACUCCUACGGGAGGCAGCAGUGGGGAAUAUUGGACAAUGGGCGAAAGCCUGAUCCAGCCAUGCCGCGUGAGUGAUGAAGGCCCUAGGGUUGUAAAGCUCUUUCACCGGUGAAGAUAAUGACGGUAACCGGAGAAGAAGCCCCGGCUAACUUCGUG